AAUAAUAGUGCAAGGUACUUUGAGUAAAUGGUCUGCAAAUCAGUGCAUCUGGAGUGCUAGGAUGUGUGGGGACAAAAAGAUGCCAUUGCAUAGGCCCGUUGGCAGAGAAAUCAAAGGUUGGGAAUACCACGCUUUACCAGGCGUUGUCGGCAAUGAUUGAUGAGAUAAUUGGUUUAGCUGCUUUCGGAAGAGGCGACGGGAAUCAUAAAAACCACGAUGGCUAUGGAGAUUCAACAUAUAGAAAGAUGGAAGAGGUUCCCACUCUCUCUCUCUCUCUCUCUCUCUCUCUCUCUCCCUUCCACUUUCUUUUGAUUUAAUCCCCAGUCUUAUUUAUCUAUGCCAACAUGGUGUGCGGCUGCAAGGAAAUAUUACUCUCUGCAAUAUUAGUGCUCCAUUGCCUACUCAACAGUGUCCUUUUUUUCUUCUGAAAUUUAGCUGCAGUCUUGGAUCACUUACCUGUACAGUACGUUACAUCUCACGGUUAUCUGACUUGCUUAUGCAAUAUAUCUCAUCAUUCAAAUAUAUGUUUAAUUUGUGGAGAAAUAUAUUUGUUGCUAUGUUGUUUGAGAUUUACAUCCUCUGUUCCAUGAGUCAAGAGGAUAUUUUUAGAGGUUUCCGUGUUACUCAUAUAGGUUUGGUAGUUAUAUUUUGGUUAGAACCUUGCUGCUCCUAACCACUAGUUAUGUGUUUUUGGGACAAGGUGCUUUGUACAUUAUGAUUGGUUAUGUAUGUGUCAUGGAUUAAAUGUAUUUAUGCUUCUGCACAAUUUUCAGUCUAUAAUUCGUUUUCCUGCCAACAAGCAUCACAAGUAAUAUCAAGAGCGAGCAGUUGCAGAUGAGAGGGAGACGAGCGUGGGUGGAGGUCAGGCCUUGUCAAGGGAGACGUGGGUACUUCUGUUAGUUGAGAAGACAUUACAGUUGCGCUACAGUCAGGAAUAAAUGUUAUUCUUCCUUCGAUAUAUUGCAACAAAUUCAGUUUAUGCGUCCUCCAAUUAUUUCUUCUGUUUUUUGGCCUUGUGCUUUUAGCAGUACAUGGUCCAGUAGUAAUCGGGGACUCAGGGGAAGGGCAGUUCUAUCUUCUAUGUGAGGUUGACUACUUUUGAUUCGCAUGUCCUCCUGAAUCAACUAUGUAUGAAAGCAGAGGCCCUCCAAAUUAGAUGAUAGUGUUUAGAAUUAAUGAUUUAUCCCAUGUGAAUUGACCUUUUCUCUAUUCUUUCAUCCUUUUUGUUUAGAGUUAAUGAUUUAUCCAGUGCUGCCCAUUGCAUGCUCACCAGACUUUUAAAAAGCUUCAUCUUAGUUUGCUAAAUGUUCUUUCCUACUGAACUAGCUUCAG